UACGUAGGGUGGCAAGCGUUGUCCGGAUUUACUGGGCGUAAAGCGCACGCAGGCGGUCUGUCAAGUCGGAUGUGAAAUCCCCGGGCUCAACCUGGGAACUGCAUUCGAAACUGGCAGGCUAGAGUCUUGUAGAGGGGGGUAGAAUUCCAGGUGUAGCGGUGAAAUGCGUAGAGAUCUGGAGGAAUACCGGUGGCGAAGGCGGCCCCCUGGACAAAGACUGACGCUCAGGUGCGAAAGCGUGGGGAGCAAACAGG
rnacentral:rRNA from 1 species